GAAGGCACUUUAUAUGAUAUUUCAAAAUAAUCGAUCGACCAUAACUCUCGUCUCGUGUGGUGGUGCACACACAGUACUGCCCUCGAUUCUAUUGUGUGCAAAACAUUAAGAUAGAAUAUUUGGUCAUCUAAGCUUCUGUUUAGGUACUUUAAACAUUAAGAUAGAAUAUUUGAUUCUCUGGUGACGACAAAAAAAAAAAAAAAA
rnacentral:lncRNA from 1 species